rnacentral:rRNA from 1 species
CCUACGGGAGGCAGCAGUGGGGAAUUUUGGACAAUGGGCGCAAGCCUGAUCCAGCCAUGCCGCGUGUGGGAAGAAGGCCUUCGGGUUGUAAACCACUUUUGUCAGGGAAGAAACGGCUUUUUCUAAUACAGAGAGCUAAUGACGGUACCUGAAGAAUAAGCACCGGCUAACUACGUGCCAGCAGCCGCGGUAAUACGUAGGGUGCAAGCGUUAAUCGGAAUUACUGGGCGUAAAGCGUGCGCAGGCGGCUUUGCAAGACAGAUGUGAAAUCCCCGGGCUCAACCUGGGAACUGCAUUUGUGACUGCAUGGCUAGAGUACGGUAGAGGGGGAUGGAAUUCCGCGUGUAGCAGUGAAAUGCGUAGAUAUGCGGAGGAACACCGAUGGCGAAGGCAAUCCCCUGGACCUGUACUGACGCUCAUGCACGAAAGCGUGGGGAGCAAACAGGAUUAGAUACCCUGGUAGUCCACGCCCUAAACGAUGUCAACUGGUUGUUGGACGGCUUGCUGUUCAGUAACGAGCUAACGCGUGAAGUUGACCGCCUGGGGAGUCGGCCGCAAGGUUGAAACGUCAAAGUGUAAGUUCGGCGNGNGAGAGCGACGGACGACGACGAGGAGGGAGGNG